GCUAGCAUGGUGUAGUGGUUUCAGCGUUGGACUAUGACUCCGGAGACCAGGAUUCAAAUCCAGGUUCAGCC